GUGAACGCUGGCGGUAGGCCUAACCCAUGCAAGUCGAACGGCAGCACCGUAAGAGCUUGCUCUUACGGGUGGCGAGUGGCGGACGGGUGAGGAAUACAUCGGAAUCUACUUUUUCGUGGGGGAUAACGUAGGGAAACUUACGCUAAUACCGCAUACGACCUACGGGUGAAAGCAGGGGAUCUUCGGACCUUGCGCGAUUGAAUGAGCCGAUGUCGGAUUAGCUAGUUGGCGGGGUAAAGGCCCACCAAGGCGACGAUCCGUAGCUGGUCUGAGAGGAUGAUCAGCCACACUGGAACUGAGACACGGCCCAGACUCCUACGGGAGGCAGCAGUGGGGAAUAUUGGACAAUGGGCGCAAGCCUGAUCCAGCCAUACCGCGUGGGUGAAGAAGGCCUUCGGGUUGUAAAGCCCUUUUGUUGGGAAAGAAAAGCAGCAGGUUAAUACCCCGCUGUUCUGACGGUACCCAAAGAAUAAGCACCGGCUAACUUCGUG
rnacentral:rRNA from 1 species